GCCAGGUGUGGUGGUGCACACCUGUAAUCCUAGAGACUGGGGGGCUGAGACAGGAGGACCAGCAACUUAGCAAGGCCCUAAGCAACUUAGCAAAACUCUGUCUCAA
rnacentral:sRNA from 1 species